GGAGUGCAGCCGUUGGUUCUCUAUCAUCAACAGAUGUGGUGAUAUUUUUCUUUCUUUCUUUCGUAAGAUUAGAAGGCAGCCAAGAUUCUAUACUGAAACGCCUCUGAGGCUUCUGGAAGAAAAUGCUCCAUGGAAGAAAAUGAUUGGUGCAUCUUUAGGAUAGGUUGAACUCUCAUGCAAUUAGUUGCCCAUCAAGAGCAAUAUUGUGGCAAGGACACAGAGAUCGGAGGAACUGUUUGUUGAGAUCAGAGUAGCUAGAAGAAGCAAGAGACCAAGGGAACAAACGAGAUAUGAUGCUCACGAUAACGAGAUAUGCUCACGAUAGUACAUCUUCUGCCUUAUAAUGUCAACAUGUCGGAGCUUUUACUCAUUGAGAGAUAUAUUGAACCACAGCAAGUACUUUGGACCAGAGGAAGAAGAAACUGACUUAAAAAAAAUCAUUUUUAUAAUUGAUAAUGAUAAGUAGGUUAGAUAUGGGUGUUGUGUUCCUUUUUGGUUUUUCUUUUUCGUUUUCCAGAGUGAUGGUUCCACCAGCCCAUGGUCUCGGAAGAUACCUGACUAUGGAGUGCAGCCGUUAGUUCUCUAUCAACAGAUGUGGUGAUAUUUUUUCUUUUCUUUUCUUUCGUAAGAUUAGAAGGCAGCCAAGAUUCUAUACUGAAACGCCUCUGAGGCUUCUGGAAGAAAAUGCUCCAUGGAAGAAAAUGAUUGCUGCAUCUUUAGGAUAGGUUGAACUCUCAUGCAAUUAGUUGCCCAUCAAGAGCAAUAUUGUGGCAAGGACACAGAGAUUGGAGGAACUGUUUAUUGAGAUCAGAGUAGCUAGAAGAAGCAAGAGACCAAGGGAACAAACGAGAUGACGCUCACUAUAGUAAAUCUUCUGCCUCAUAUCAAGUCGGAGCUUUUACUCAUUGAGAUAUAUUCAACCACAGCAAGUACUUUGGACCAGAGGAAGAAGAAACUGACUUAAAAAAAAUCAUUUUUAUAAUUGAUAAUGUUAAGUAGGCUAGAUAUGGGUGUGGUGUUUCUUUUUGGUUUUUCUUUUUCGUUUUCCAGAGUGAUGGUUCCACCAGCCCAUGGUCUCGGAAGGACUAUGGAGUGCAGCCGUUGGUUCUCUAACGUCAACAGAUGUGGUGAUAUUUUUUCUUUUCUUCCGUAAGGUUAGAAGGCAGCCAAGAUUCUAUACUGAAACGCCUCUGAGGCUUCUGGAAGAAAAUGCUCCAUGGAAGAAAAUGAUUACUGCAUCUUUAGGAUAGGUUGAACUCUCAUGCAAUUAGUUGCCCAUCAAGAGCAGUAUUGUGGCAAGGACACAGAUCGGAGGAACUGUUUGUUGAGAUCAGAGUAGGUAGAAGAAGCAAGAGACCAAGGGAACAAACGAGAUAUGAUGCUCACGAUAACGAGAUAUGAUGCUCACGAUAGUACAUCUUCUGCCUUAUAAUAUCAACAUGUCGGAGCUUUUACUCAUUGAGAGAUAUAUUCAACCACAGCAAGUACUUUGGACCAGAGGAAGAAGAAACUGACUUUAAAAAAAAAUCAUUUUUAUAAUUGAUAAUAAGUAGGUUAGAUAUGGGUGUGGUGUUCCUUUUUGGUUUUUCUUUUUCAUUUUCCAGAGUGAUGGUUCCACCAGCCCAUGGUCUCGGAAGAUACCCGACUAUGGAGUGCAGCCGUUGGUUCUCUAACGUCAACAGAUGUGGUGAUAUUUUUUCUUUCCUUCCGUAAGAUUAGAAGGCAGCCAAGAUUCUAUACUGAAACGCCUCUGAGGCUUCUGGAAGAAAAUGCUCCAUGGAAGAAAAUGAUUGGUGCAUCUUUAGGAUAGGUUGAACUCUCAUGCAAUUAGUUGCCCAUCAAGAGCAGUAUUGUGGCAAGGACACAGAAAUGGGAGGAAGUGUUUAUUGAGGCAGGGCAGACCGCUCUGCAUAAUUUCCACCAGAAUUAAUCACUUAGUGAUGAACAAUGGUGAACAACAAUGAAUGUCGACCAACAUAAAACAAGAGAUAGCUGGUGUGUAGAUGAAAUAGGCAUCAUUUUCUCGAGCCUGAAAAGCAAAGGGCACUGACAGAACGAACUGGACACUGGGAAUGAACGGACUGAACUGACCAUUGAGGAUAAUUUUAUGGCUGCCACUUCACAGUUCAUAGAUUAAUGAGCGUUCUUAAAGGCCAGGCAUUUUAAAAUGCUUUGUUUCGCUGUUUCUGACCUUUUUUCUAUUUCAGAAGCAAAUACAACUGGAGCCGUAUCAAGCACAUCUAGCAUCUUCCCUGCUUCGCUUAACUGGCCUUUGGAAGCUCUGGACACAGGGGCGACUAGCUCGGACUUCCCAGGGGGGCAAAUCGAAGUGUAUCUGUGGGAGUGCAGCCAAAGGAGACAGUGAGACGUCUUUCCGAAGAGCCAGGAGCGCGGGGACUACCAGACUCCAUCAACGCUACAACAUCGAAGUGUCAACCUCAAGUGAACAUGUACUCGUGGAUAUUGUCUUUGUGCUUCAAGCACCUUCAGUCAACAGCUACAUGUCAUCCCACAGGACGUAACGCUGCAACUGCUUAGCACACUAUGGACAACAUAUUGUUAUAUUGUUGUGUGGUUUAGGUUUAUAGUGUGUGUGACAAGUAUGCAAUUGUUUUGUAUCAUGAACAAACUUGACCAGCGGAGCUGGGAGGUAUGGGGCAUUGCUCUGUACCGGCUGCACCUUCUGCUUGGUUUUCCUGGGUUUUCCUCGCAGACAGAGACGAAUGUGGGUGCAGUUCCCAUAAAGUCGGCCCAGGACGCACUUUCAUCCCCCCCCCCAAUGGCAGCAACCGCAUGCCUUGGACGUCCAUGAAGCAUCUUUUGCGUUCCCUUUAAGCUUCACUGCGACAUGGCUCGCACCAUGCAAAUGACAGUCGACCAUUUUGCAUGUUGCGUGGAUGUUUUGAAUGUGUUUUUUCAUGUCACGUGCGCACGUUGUACAUACCAAACCAGGACCCCCACCAAAUUAAAGUCGAGGAAACAUGAAUCAUUACUUUUAGCCAGUACAAAUUUAUUCAAUCAUCAAUCAGUCUCAAAGAUUCUGGUAUGGUAUUGCAACAGGCACGUGUCUGUGUGUAUGUAGCAUGUGCGUGUAUGUGCAUGAGCGUACGUACGCAAAUGUUGAUGUGUCUGUUUUUAACUCUACUAAACUGCCGUGGUUGAAUGUCAUUUGCCGGGCAGACUUUGCUGCAGUGAAGCCAUUAUUCGGUUCGGUUAUUUCAAAUGGUCAGGUUGGAUCCGCCUGGUUAUUUGAAAAGCAAUGUUUAAAUUAUACCCUCGACGCUGUGUGUGCCUUCACAUGCACUAUAUUAUGGUUAAAUAAUGUGCAAGGAUUUCUUUCUGAUAUUGAAUAGUUCAUUGGGAGUGUUUCAGUGAUGUGUAUUUUGUACAUGCUGAUGCUAUCUGAUUAUUGCGUGAGAUUUCUGUGUAUUAAGUACAUUUUGUAUGUGCUGAUGCUAUCUAAUUAAUGUAUAAUGAUUGACUUGUUGUGUAUUAAAUGUGUGUGAUUUUCAUCUUUCUGUACAUUAAAUUUCAGGUGCUUUGUCUCUCUUCA